ensembl:lncRNA
AGGACGCCUGUGACCAGGGAGAGACUGAGUCCUGGGGUGACGGAGCCCGGAAGCCCCACUGUGCAGCUGUUGUUAACCCGCGCCUGCUCCCCAGGCUGCUGCAGUUUCCCCAGAACCCAGACCAAAGCUGCCGCGGCCCCUGAGUCAGGUCAGCGCAUGGGGGGCCACCACGGACAGACACUGAGGACAAACCAACAGACAGACACGACGGCCACACAGCCUCCCAGAGCACUAGGAUUACAAGCAUGGGUGAUGCUUUUCCAGAUUCCCGCCUAUCCUGACAGCCUGCACUGGUACACGUGCUGCUGGAGUCCACGCACACAGGCACACGGCUCUCCUGUGAUGGAUGACAGAUUGACUGAUGGACCUAUGAAUGCAGAACAUGGCCAUCAAGCACCUUGUAGAGGUUGGGACCCUAAAAUCAGUGUUCUCUGAAAGGAACUGGGACUUGGAAAAUUGGCCGGUCACACUUUGGGGACCAAGAUUGUACAAGAUAGGCCUGGUGUAUUUUGUUGCCAAAAACCAAGAACAAUGAAAAUUUGUCAAAAUUCUGUCAGGGCUAUAGGAGCCAAAUCUUUUGCCUAAAUCAUGAUAUUCUGAUCACCAAAACAGAGCUAAUGGCUACAAAUAAUCGAACAACUUGUGUUGCCAGAAAGCCACCGUUUAUCACAAUGUCAUGAGAAAAAGUAAGGUCUCGAGAGAAUCUUUGCUUUGAUGUCACCUUAAUUUCCCCACGUGCUGCUUUGGCCCUGCCAGACUCUGGGUAGAGGAGAGAAGGUACCACCCCAGCUCCAGAGAAUCUAGGACAGUGUUACACGUGGACAAGGGGGUACAGGCUGGGUCAGGGAUGCCUUCAUAGCCAGAUGGAAAAGGAUGGAAAGACGCUUAAAUAACAAGAGUCAGUCAAAGAAAACAAAAUCCAGUAGGAGCUUGAGUUCUAUGAGUAGGCAGAAAAAGGAGUUGGGCUCUAGGGGAUGAACUAAUGGUCAGCGUGGAGCUGGACUGAGUCAGCGCGGUUGGGCAUGGAGGACCCAACUGAGGAUGGCUGCCAACGGCCUGAAAGGAGAACCAGAUGGGAAGACCGUGUGCUGUUGAUUUCCUGGAGAAGCCUACCGCGGCUGGUUUUCCUGAUGCGAAUUUGGCUGUUCUCGUAGUCGUCAGAGGAUCUCAGGUCCUCGCUGUCACCGGGAGAGCUGCUGUUCUCGUCAGAGACGCUCUGGUCUUCGCCUUGAGCAUCGCUUCCUGGCUCCAGGGCAGAUCCCUCAGCCUGGUGACACAGAGCCUCAUCCCACAGGUACAGGCUUUCUAGUUUCCACCGCUGGCCUUGGGCCUUCCUGGUGCAGACCCUCGACACAGACUUGCAUGAGACAUCGGCAUGGGCUCAAAGCCUGGAGCUGGACUUGUGCGGGACAUUGCCUUGGGAUCCUGUAUUCUUCGGGUCUCUAGCGUGUGGACAGAUCUCUUCCACUCCUCUGCAUUUGAAUUUUUAGGUGACUGCUAUAAAACAAUCCUAUAAAUUAUGUGUUCCGUAUUAAAUCUAUUCCCUUGCAAACCCUGACUACAGCACUCCCAGUCCCUUGCUGACCCAGUGCUCUCCCGGAUGCAUCCUCAGUUGCAGACAGGUGGCAGGGGCUCUCUGCCCUCUAGUGGUUCUCUCUGGUAAUGACAGGAAAUAGCUGCCACUUUUGUGCCCCUUUGGGGUGAAACCAGUUCCAUUGAGUGGGUGCCAAGGACCACCUGACACCAGCCAGGACCUUUGACUGACUUGUGGGUUUUUGCUUAAAUUCAGCUUGAUGGAAUGGACCUUCCCACAGCCGUGUGCACAAAGAACAAUGCACUUGUGGUUGGGUGGGUGUCCAGGGCGUUGGAGAUAGCCCUGCAGCGGGCAGGUACCACUCCUACCACAGGAAAGAGAUGUACGAUUCUAGUAUAACUCUAAGACAAACCAAAUAUUGAUGUGCAGUAAUAUCUCCUAAUGGUGACAACUAUACAGUGGUACCUUGGUUCAUGAACUUAUUUUUUUCUACAAUUUUGGAAAAGAUGGCUAUGUUUGUGUUUGUGUGGGAAGGAAUGCCGUGGUCGUAUUUGUCAACUGAUGCAGAGUUUGCAAACAAAAGCAAAAUUUUGCCAAAUGCUUCUGUUUGCAAACCAAACUGUUUGCAAACAAAAGCAUUUGUGAACCAAGGUACCACUGUGCCUCCACUAACAAUAAAAAGAAUUCACCAGUAAUAACAUAGAGUUAACUACAUAAAGAUUAAUAAAGCUCAAUGGUUAUACUAGUAAAGACAGAGGGGGUGGGGAAUUGGAGAGUGAAAGAAAUGUUUGAAAAGUUAAGCAAUGGAGGACAGGAAAGAGAAACAAAGGACUGUUAGGAGUAAAAAGAAUUUAAUAGAAUUAACAAAGGUAUGAGAAAAGAACAAAUAAGAAAAGAAUAUAUAUAAAAGAAAAAAAUUAAGAGGAAAAAAGAAAGAUAAAGAAAAUUCCCUAACCACUCCCCAAAAAAACCUUGUGGAGAAGAAAGAGGAAAAAGGUGUGCUCAAGAAAGCAAUUUUUCUGUGUAUGUGAACAAGAGUUUUUUUCGCAGGCUCUACAGUUUUGGAAUGCAAUACUGGGUUUUCUCUGCCUAGCCUCCCAUCCUCUGGGGUUGGGAGCUGCACCCGCUCCUGAAGUGGUGCCUGGUUGAAUGCUGCCCAGCAAUGGGGCAGGGGCUGCCCGGGGUUUCUCCUCCCGCUGUUGCCUGCUGUGUCAAGUCACUCUGCAGUGAAGCCCCUCGUUGCUUUGCAGUCUGUGGUAAAGGGGGCAGGGGGCUGGUCCUUUCCCACAGUGCAUCUUUUAGCUGUGGUUUUCUGUUUCACUUUGGAUAGUUUCUAUUGCCAUCUUCAAGUCCCAUAUCUUACCUCCUGCAACAUCUGUUCUAUUGACUCCAUCCACUUUGCUCUUCUCAGAAAUUGUAACUUUCAUUUCCAAGCAUCUGGAUUGUGUUCUACACCACUUACUGCUCUAAUUUAACCCAUGUAACCUCUCCUCCAUGCUCCGAGCCAGGCACAAUUCUGUUUUCAGUCCUUAUGCACUGAUCCAAAUACCUCCACCACGGCUGGCUCAGCCUUGACUGGCGUCUUCUCCUUCCCCACUGUGAGUCACACUUUCCUGCACAUUCAUGGGCAGGAUGACCCGG